rnacentral:rRNA from 1 species
UACGUAGGGGGCAAGCGUUGUCCGGAAUCAUUGGGCGUAAAGAGCGUGUAGGCGGCCAGGUAGGUCUGGUGUGAAAACUCGAGGCUUAACCUCGAGAUGUCAUCGGAAACCAUUUGGCUAGAGUCCGGAAGAGGAGAGUGGAAUUCCUGGUGUAGCGGUGAAAUGCGCAGAUAUCAGGAAGAACACCAAUGGCGAAAGCAGCUCUCUGGGCCUGAUACUGACGCUGAGAAGCGGAAAGCAUGGGGAG